GGGCGCGUGGCGGAAUUGGCAUACGCGUACGGCUUAGGACCGUAUGGGAAACCUGUGGAGGUUCAAGUCCUCUCGCGCCCA
rnacentral:tRNA from 1 species